GUUGCAGUACCUAACGUUUCAUACACCGAGUGUUUUAUUAACAAUACAUAAACAAUGUGUUAUGAAUAAAAACAAACAAUGGAGUGGUACGCGUGGGAAUAUCCGGUUCACAGUUAGUAUAGCGCAUCACCCCAUGGGGAGCAAUUGGAACAAAGAUUCAACAGGUGCACUUGCAGCUGCUUCCGAAGCCUAAAUAGCUUAAGGGAAAUCUUAGAAAGCCAUCCGGCAUUUCUGGAAGGAUGUGGUUCUUUGUAAGGAUGGUAAGGUUUUCGGUUAAAAAAAAAACUUGACGAGUAGCCGCAUUUAUAUCCGCUUUAUACCUUGAGGUGACAAUAAAUUAAUUUUAUUACU